AAUUUAUGUACCAUUAUGACUAGGUUCUCAAUCAGAUAAUUGUGCAUACCAAUGUUGAUAGGUCCCCAAUCAGAUUACGGUACCCUACACAGGAUUAUGACUAGGUUUUCAAUCAGAUUAUACUAGAUAUUGUUGUCUCCCCAGCUCCCCAAAUUGAAAGUGCACCAAAUGAAACCUCCUCCCCUUCAUGUACUGCAUGGUAUGGAGGAGAAAGCAUGAACAGGAACAUAGACAUUAUGAACUCUGAUAAGCCAUAUAAUAGUGUUCACAAACUAUUUAACAAACCCUCAGAGCCACUAUAAAUUUUAGGAUGACAAUUAGUGUUGUACUGAUAAUCAGAAAACAUCGAUUAACGACGAAAAAAAGCUACCGAUUCCGAUGAUCGAUUAUUAUUUUUCAUAAUCGAUCAUCGGAUCCACACAUCUCAUAGAGCGCAUUCCGAAAUUAGACCGUUUCCGUUAUUGUUUUACCUGUGCCAGGAAAAAAAAAAUGGCAUCAAACAAUGGAAUAUAUGAUCACCCGAGCGUGAAAAAGAAGUCAGAAGUAUGGAAGUAUUUCGGAAGGUAGAUAUCAAUUUACCUCCAAGUAAAACGAACCUAAAUCUAAAUCUAAAUAAAGCCGUGUGCCGUAUUUGCUACAAGGAAUACACCAACACUGUAUUUUGAAGAGACCAGACGUUACCUGGGGAUGGCACUGAAAGAAGAUGACAAAGGGCUCACAGUUCUAGAGUAGUGGCAAAAAAAUGAAAUGCUUUCCCCCAGAAUAGCAGUUCUUGCAAAAAAGAUUUUAUGUGUUCAAGCUAGUAGCGUGCCAUCAGAGAGAGUAUUUUCUCUUGCUGGUGGGUUGGUGUCAAAAAAGAGAAGUAGGCUGAGUGCAGAUAAUGUAGAUUUGUUUAUUUUCUUGAACAAAAACAUGAGUAAAUUUUGGUGAGAGAUUGAAUGGUAUUAUGCUUAAGCCAGAGACAGUAGAGAUUUAGAUUAAAAUGCUGAGUUUUACAUCAUACUGGUGUUUAGUUUAUCUUGCUAUUUCUCUCCUAGAAAGAGCUGUUAACUAUUUGUUUAAGAAAUGUAAUGCUUUGUAUUGAAUAAAAAACAAAUCUGCACUA